AAGAUCAGUACUUCCACGCUUUAAACGCUGCACGCUCAUACUCUCUCCCGCACUCGAUAUAUGAUCCACUGUUGAUCUGCACACAGCUGUUGUCACGAACGUCGCACUCGCUUACAUCAUUGUCAUGAGACAUUCUCGCAAAAAAAUCACGGUUUUAGUAACGCAGUAAUGCAGCGUUCCUACGGGAAAGUAACGUUUCGCGAUAGUAAUCCCUUACUUUACUCGUUACUUUUAAAAAGUAAUCAGAUUACAGUAAUGCGUUACUCUCUGAUUGUAACUGACUGUAAAAAGUCAGCACAACAAAAAUAAACUCCACCUAAACUUGGUUUAUAUCUGACCCAGAUAGACUGCAGGUCAUAACUUCUUACCUGAAUUUCAGUACACCUGACCUGCGGCCACCUCAGGUCUCUCCUCCUGCCUCACCUUUCCCUCAUCCACCUGCUGGCCUCUGUGGAAGCUCCAUAGCCACCACCAAACAACUGAAUUAUUUUUACAGAUCGACCAGCAUCUGGCCAAUCCACCACCUUUCAUUGUUUAUACCGUUACAAAAAAAAAAAAAAAAACAGCCCAUAAAAACGAAAAAUCACCAUCGGCCCACCGGGCAUUUGCCCUGUAUAUCCCUCAAGCUGUCGUCCAAUAUCCCUUAUAAAUGUAGACCUUAAAAUAAUCUGCAAAGAGAUUAGAGAAAAUAACCCCCCUCUUAAUUCGUCCUGACCAAACUGGUUUCAUAAAAGGUAGGCACUCAUCAACAAAUACACGUAGAUUACUUAAUUUGAUAGACUACUCAUACAGUUAAAAACAUCGAAACUACAAUAUUUUCCAAAUUCCUUUGGAAAGAUAAACCCCCACGUAUAAGCUUAAAAACACUACAAAAGACCAAGGAUAGAGGAGGAUUAGAACUACCUAAGUUUCAGCACUACUUCUUAGCCAACAGGCUUCAAUUUAUCUCAGGAUGGCUAAAACAUACCCUCUUAGACGAACCUUGGCUAAAUGUAGAACAAGCACUUUGCAAUAAUCUAGAGAUUUCAGAUCUACCAUUUAUCAGCUCAAACCUCCAACGACAUGAAUGCUUCAAAAGCAUCAACAUCAGCUUCUCUCUGACAGCAUGGUGGGAGUUUCUAAAAUUGACGGAGUCUUCAUUAAUCCCAUGCAAACGUACACC
ensembl:lncRNA